rnacentral:rRNA from 1 species
GAGUAAAGCUCCGGCGCUUCGGGAGAGGGCUGCGGCCCAUCAUCUAGUUGGAUAUUGGUAGACGGCGUACCAAGGCAGAGACGGGUAGGGGGCGUGAGAGCGCUGAACCCCCACACUGGCACUGCGACACGGGACCACACUCCUACGGGAGGCAGCAGUAAGGAAUAUUGCGCAAUGUACGAAAGUCAGACGCAGCGACGCCGCGCGUGCGAUGAAGGGCUUCGCGGUGUAAAGCCCUUUUAUGGGGGAAGAGAAAAAGGACGGUACCCCAUGAAUAAGUCCCGGCUAACUACGUGCCAGCAGCCGCGGUAAAACGUACGGGACAAGCGUUAUCCGGAUUCACUGGGCGUAAAGAGCGUUGAGGCUGCUCCGUAAGUUGGGCGUGAACGCUCCGGGCUUAACCCGCAGAUGUCGCUCAAUACUGCGGGCCUUGAGGACAGCAUAGAAACGUGGAAUUCCCGGUGUAGUGGUGAAAUGCGUAGAUAUCGGGAGGCGCACUCAUCUCGAAGGCGGCUUUCUGGGCUUUUCCCGCCACAGAAGGGGGAAGCUACGGGAGCGAAUUGGUUGAGAGUCCCCGGUAGUCCCGUCUGUCAAUAAUGGAUGGCGAGAUACAGUGGUGUGAUGUCUCUCUGUGGUGAGGCAUACGCGUGGCGAGUCCGGCCUGCGGGAUUGCGGCUCCAAGGAUAAAACUCGGUCUCGUUCACGGGGGGGCGCACACGCACCAGAUCGUUGGUUUUCAUUAGACCUUACCCGAAGAACCAUACCUGGGUUCGAUCUGCGCAAUGUAGGGAACCAUAGGGGGAGAGUCCUUCGGUGAGCAGAGGGUCAGGUCGCCGUCAUGCGCUGUCAGUCAGACUCGUGGCCGUGAGUCGUCGGGUUAGGUCCGGUUGCGGGUGCAAGGCCCGCCCUUAGUUACAAGUGUCUAAGGGGACUGCCCGGGACAACUGGGAGGAAGGUGGGGAUGACGUCAAGUCAGCAUGGCCUUUAUAUCCAGGGCUACACACACGCUACAAUGGCCAGUACAAUAGGUAGCCAAGUCGUGAGACGGAGCCUAUCCUAAGAGCUGGUCUCAGUUC